GUGAGGAAUAUUGGUCAAUGGGCGAGAGCCUGAACCAGCCAAGUAGCGUGAGGGAUGACUGCCCUAUGGGUUGUAAACCUCUUUUGCAGGGGGGUAAAGUGGUCCACGUGUGGAUCAUUGCAAGUACCCUGCGAAUAAGGAUCGGCUAACUCCGUGCCAGCAGCCGCGGUAAUACGGAGGAUCCGAGCGUUAUCCGGAUUUAUUGGGUUUAAAGGGAGCGUAGGCGGGGGUUUAAGUCAGCUGUGAAAUGCCGUGGCCCAACCAUGGAACUGCAGUUGAAACUGGACCUCUUGAGAGUACAUAAGGAAGGCGGAAUUCGUGGUGUAGCGGUGAAAUGCAUAGAUAUCACGAAGAACUCCGAUUGCGAAGGCAGCUUUCCGGGGUACAUCUGACGCUGAAGCUCGAAAGUGCGGGAAUCAAACAGGAUUAGAAACCCCAGUAGUCC
rnacentral:rRNA from 1 species